rnacentral:rRNA from 1 species
AGAACGAACGCUGGCGGCAGGCUUAACACAUGCAAGUCGAGCGCCCCGCAAGGGGAGCGGCAGACGGGUGAGUAACGCGUGGGAACAUACCCUCCGGUUCGGAAUAGCUCAGGGAAACUUGGAUUAAUACCGGAUACGGCCUAGCGGCGAAAGAUUCAUCGCCGGAGGAUUGGCCCGCGUUCGAUUAGCUAGUUGGUGAGGUAACGGCUCACCAAGGCGACGAUCGAUAGCUGGUCUGAGAGGAUGAUCAGCCACAUUGGGACUGAGACACGGCCCAAACUCCUACGGGAGGCAGCAGUGGGGAAUAUUGGACAAUGGGCGCAAGCCUGAUCCAGCCAUGCCGCGUGAGUGAUGACGGCCUUAGGGUUGUAAAGCUCUUUCGCUAGGGACGAUAAUGACGGUACCUAGACAAGAACGCCCCGGCUAACUUCGUGCCAGCAGCCGC